UACAGAGGUCCCAAGCGUUGUUCGGAUUCACUGGUCGUAAAGGGUGCGUAGGCGGUCGGGUAAGUCUGAUGUGAAAUCUCACAGCUUAACUGUGAAACUGCAUUGGAUACUAUCCGACUCGAGGAAUGGAGGGGAGACUGGAAUUCUCGGUGUAGCAGUGAAAUGCGUAGAUAUCGAGAGGAACACCAGUGGCGAAGGCGAGUCUCUGGACAUUUCCUGACGCUGAGGCACGAAAGCCAGGGGAGCAAACGGG
rnacentral:rRNA from 1 species